rnacentral:rRNA from 1 species
UACGGAUGGGGCAAGCGUUGUCCGGACUUACUGGGCGUAAAGGGUGCGUAGGCGGCCUGCUGCGUCGGUGCUGAAAGCGCCCGGCUUAACCGGGCGAGGCGUGCCGAUACGAGCGGGCUGGAGCCUUGGCGAGGGUGGCGGAACUCCUGGUGUAGUGGUGAAAUGCGUAGAGAUCAGGAAGAACACCCGUGGCGCAAGCGGCCACCUGGCCAAGAGCUGACGCUGAGGCACGAGAGCGUGGGGAGCGAACCGG